rnacentral:rRNA from 6 species
AACGACUCUCGGCAACGGAUAUCUCGGCUCUCGCAUCGAUGAAGAACGUAGCGAAAUGCGAUACUUGGUGUGAAUUGCAGAAUCCCGUGAACCAUCGAGUCUUUGAACGCAAGUUGCGCCCUAAGCCUUUUGGCCGAGGGCACGUCUGCCUGGGUGUCACA